UCGUGCUAGACGGGGGGUCAGUGGUCCCCUGUAACCCGAAACCCACUCACGCGGGGUCGAAAAGGCACCGUGAGAGACGCCCGGGGCGAACCCGGGCCGGGGCGGACCGCGGCGUUGAAGGCCGGGUCCCGCGAUGGCUGUCGCCGCCAACCCCGCCAGGGCCGGAAGGCAGCAACGGUACGCGGAAUGUCAGCCAGUCGCGGGAGCGCCUGGCCGGAGCCGCACCCCCCGGUUCGCUCGUCCCGGCGCCCCGAUGGUGUCGCACGA
rnacentral:SRP_RNA from 1 species